AAAUCGGUUCUUUUCAGAACCACAAUUAACAUUUAAAAGUAAAUA
rfam:Tribolium castaneum strain Georgia GA2 unplaced genomic scaffold scaffold_seqid1644, whole genome shotgun sequence.